CAGCAGCCGCGGUAAAACGUAGGGGGCAAGCGUUAUCCGGAAUUACUGGGUGUAAAGGGAGCGUAGACGGUUAAACAAGUCUGAAGUGAAAUGCCGGGGCUCAACCCCGGAGCUGCUUUGGGAACUGUAGAACUGGAGUGUCGGAGGGGUAAGCGAAAUUCCCAGUGUAGCGGUAAAAUGCGUAGAUAUUGGGAGGAACACCGGCGGCGAAGGCGGCUUACUGGACGACAACUGACGUUGAGGCUCGAAGGCGUGGGUAGCAAACUGGAUUAGAUACCCCCGUAGUCCCUGUCUCUUAUAC
rnacentral:rRNA from 1 species